GUGGGGAAUAUUGGACAAUGGGCGAAAGCCUGAUCCAGCCAUGCCGCGUGUGUGAAGAAGGUCUUCGGAUUGUAAAGCACUUUAAGUUGGGAGGAAGGGCAGUAAGUUAAUACCUUGCUGUUUUGACGUUACCGACAGAAUAAGCACCGGCUAACUUCGUGCAAGCAGCCGCGGUAAUACGAAGGGUGCAAGCGUUAAUCGGAAUUACUGGGCGUAAAGCGCGCGUAGGUGGUUUUGUAAGUUGGAGGUGAAAUCCCCGGGCUCAACCUGGGAACUGCCUCCAAAACUGCAUGACUAGAGUACGGUAGAGGGUAGUGGAAUUUCCUGUGUAGCGGUGAAAUGCGUAGAUAUAGGAAGGAACACCAGUGGCGAAGGCGACUACCUGGACUGAUACUGACACUGAGGUGCGAAAGCGUGGGGAGCAAACAGGAUUAGAAACCCCGGUAGUCC
rnacentral:rRNA from 1 species